rnacentral:rRNA from 1 species
AUUGAACGCUGGCGGCAUGCCUUACACAUGCAAGUCGAACGGCAGCACGGGGGCAACCCUGGUGGCGAGUGGCGAACGGGUGAGUAAUGCAUCGGAACGUGCCCAGUAGUGGGGGAUAGCUCGGCGAAAGCCGAAUUAAUACCGCAUACGUACUGAGGUAGAAAGCGGGGGACCGUAAGGCCUCGCGCUACUGGAGCGGCCGAUGUCGGAUUAGCUUGUUGGUGGGGUAAAAGCCUACCAAGGCGACGAUCCGUAACUGGUCUGAGAGGACGACCAGUCACACUGGGACUGAGACACGGCCCAGACUCCUACGGGAGGCUG